UUGCAAUUGGUUGAGGAGACCAAACCGGAGGGCGAAUGCUCCCAGCUGGAGAAAAAGGGAAGCUUGGUAGGGGGAGGUUUUCUUUGGAGAGCGGCUGAAAUCCUACUGUUCCUGAGCUGGGCUCUUUGAGCUGUGGAGAUAUAUUCAGAAUAAGUUCAAUGGCGGUGAUGGAAAAUGUGGGACAACAGAAGCUUUAUGAGAUGGAGUCAUGUUGUCAAAACAUAACCAAACUGAAUCACUUCAAACGUAUCAUGCUAAAGGAGCUGAUAAAGAGGAAAGAAAACAAUUCAGGUUAUCAGUGAUCCUGCAUAGAACACUGGCCUUGGAAGUCAAGAGAUUUAAAUACCAACUCUUCUACAUAUUUAACUGAGCCUCAGUUUCUUCACCUGAAACAAAAAUGUAUACCACCUAUUCAAUGGCUAUUAAGAGAUUUAAAUAAGUUAGCCUACACUAAGCAAUUAGUAAUGUCCUUUUGUGUGCAAAACUAAUACCACAAUCAUUUCUGAUAGAUUUUUUUUUUUAAUUCAGUCUCCUCUAUAAACAUAAACAAUGUAUACCAGCUUCAAGGUCCCUUCAGUCUGUGUCUCGGACUGUGUAAAACAAAUUAAUUAGUGUACUUAUUAUUUACUGAGACAGGGUCUAUUAGAUUCACUCAAGAGACACUUGUCAUUUUUGGGCACGGAUUAUACCAGAGUUUAUGACACCCAUUAAGGAUGUAAUUUAUCCUAAACGGUUUAAAAGCGUUAAAAAAAAUCCCACAAACUCAGAGUUUAUGACAGAUCUGUCACAGAAGUGAAAGAGAAUGAUUACAGAGAAAACUGAAAACAAGCUAGCACUCUUU